GUCUGCGUAGCUCAGUGGUAUGAGCAGAGGAUUGCAGAUCCUAAGGUCACCUGUUCGAUCCAGGUCGUAGACU
rnacentral:tRNA from 1 species